UGGAGCCUGGGUGCUGCUCUGCCCACACCCGGAGCAGGUGAGACGCUAGGGGCCGUCCGGGGCGGGAAGGGAUCUCUCUCUCCUGCCCCGGUAAGACGACGCAACAGCAGGGUCGCUCGACCCAGUGACAGCUCCACUUGCGCUCCCUGGCACUCUCGGAGUUAUGUUGCUGAGGCUGGCCUUCAACUCCUGGGCUCAAGUGAUCUUUCUGCCUCAGCCUCCAGAGUGCCUGGGCCUACAGUAUUGGGCCACCUCAUAUGCCCCAGGAAGUCAGAGGAAGAAGAAAACUUCUCUGGGAACUGCUACACCAAAGGAGGACCAUGCUCUGCCUCUGAGGCUUAUAAGAGUGCCUGAAGAGCUCAUUCUGGCUUAGAAACAGUACAUAGUGAACCAAACUCAUCUGUCAGUGAGUAGGAGGAAGGGAGGCAAGGAGAGAAGAGAGAAUUAAAAUUGUAAACCCCAUAUCACGUGGCUUCUUCCUUGAACUUUAAUAACUCUGUGUUGCCUACAGGCUCAGAAACACCAAAUGCAAUAGUAGGUACAAGGAUUGCUCUGGUGCCAGGAAAAUGCAGUAAGACACAACUUUUACAAGGUAGGCAAUGAAUAAAUGCCCUGCAGGAACAAAACAGGCUUUUAACAUCUCCAAAGUUGGCAGCCAGAUGCCUCAAAUGUUAGCUUAGUGCAUUCACAACGCACAACAGAUAGGACCACGUACUUGAAGAUGAAAUCAUUUUCCAGGGGAAACAAUCUCUGGGGAGGCUGGGUUUUAUAAGGAGGAAGAGGGGAGGAUCUAUAUUUUCUUUGCCACAGCAUGACACACUUUAAUGCAUGUUUUUGGUAUGCUAGGCACAUUUUUUUUUUAAAGAAUGCUUUAAAAGAGAAGACAGUGAGCAGAUUGCUUCAGUUACUCAAAGAACUAUCAUUGUCCCCUGGUUGGGGAGGGAUCUAAUUCUGUCUCAUAGUGGUGUUAUCAAAAAGAUAUGAAACUACAAGUCUUCAUUUGGAUUCUGCAGUUGGGGUGUCUUGUUACACUCUACCCCCAGAAGUGUUAAAGGAAGUGCCUGUCAUCAAAAUUCAAAAGCAAAUCCAGAAACGAUGCAGGCAAAACCAAAAGGAUCAGCAUUUUGCUUCAGUUUCCUGUUCAUAAAACUUUAUAAAAACAAUCCACCCACUUAAAAAAAAUGCCACAACAAUAGCUCAUAUUCUUUGCUUAACACUUGCCUCAUGCCUCUGUGAAAUGAGGUGCCAUCAUGUUUCCUGCAUAUACCACAUCCCUUUCCUCCUUCCCUUGCCCUCACCCCACCUGGCAUCAUUCCUAGAUUCAGUCACUUCUCCAGAUUACGAGCUCAAGCAGAGAGAUGCCAAUUUCCUCCCCAACCUGUCCUGAGGAGGCCAAGUACUUGUUCCAGCUGGAAGCAGGAAUAAUUGAGGUUCUGUUUCCCCAAAUUAAUUCUCACUUCCUAGAGGAACUUGUAAUGGGGAAGCCUAAGUUAAGAAGUCACAAAGUUAAGGAAAAAAUGCAGACUGCUCCAGUAAACUGAAAAAUAAUUAUAAAUGUAUUGCCUCGUGACCUCAAUUUUUGAAGAAUAGGAUAUCUUCUUCCUACCCUGGUCCUAUUGCAAAACUUUCUUUGUGGAAUAUCCAACAGACUGUGCUUCAUUUUCUGAGAGAAUAAAGUAGAAUAAAGCUCUUGAACAAAAAAAA